UACAGAGGUCUCAAGCGUUGGUUCGGAUUCAUUGGGCGUAAAGCGUGCGCAGGCGGUUCGUGAUGUCUGAUGUGAAAGCCCCGGGCUCAACCUGGGAAUUGCAUUGGAAACUAGCGGGCUGGAGUGUGGCAGAGGGGGGGUGGAAUUCCACGUGUAGCAGUGAAAUGCGUAGAGAUGUGGAGGAACACCGAUGGCGAAGGCAGCCCCCUGGGCUAACACUGACGCUCAUGCACGAAAGCGUGGGGAGCAAACAGG
rnacentral:rRNA from 1 species